rnacentral:rRNA from 1 species
UACGUAGGUGGCAAGCGUUGUCCGGAUUUACUGGGCGUAAAGAGCGCGCAGGCGGUCGUUCAAGUCGCGUGUGAAAGCCCCCGGCUCAACUGGGGAGGGUCACGCGAUACUGAUCGACUGGAAGGCAGGAGAGGGUAGUGGAAUUCCCGGUGUAGUGGUGAAAUGCGUAGAUAUCGGGAGGAACACCAGUGGCGAAGGCGACUUCCUGGACCUGUUCUGACGCUGAGGAGCGAAAGCGUGGGGAGCGAGCCGG